CAGUCGCCACGGUAAUACGUAGGGUGCAAGCGUUAAUCGGAAUUACUGGGCGUAAAGCGUGCGCAGGCGGUUAUAUAAGACAGAUGUGAAAUCCCCGGGCUCAACCUGGGAACUGCAUUUGUGACUGUAUAGCUAGAGUACGGCAGAGGGGGAUGGAAUUCCGCGUGUAGCAGUGAAAUGCGUAGAUAUGCGGAGGAACACCGAUGGCGAAGGCAAUCCCCUGGGCCUGUACUGACGCUCAUGCACGAAAGCGUGGGGAGCAAACAGGAUUAGAUACCCGGGUAGUCCCUGUCUCUUAUAC
rnacentral:rRNA from 1 species